rnacentral:rRNA from 1 species
AUUGAACGCUGGCGGCAGGCCUAACACAUGCAAGUCGAGCGAGCGGCGGACGGGUGAGUAAUGCCUCGGAAUCUGCCUGGUCGUGGGGGAUAACGUCCGGAAACGGGCGCUAAUACCGCAUACCAUCAGCUUUGCCCAGAUGGGCUUAGCUAGUGGGUGUGGUAACGGCUCACCUAGGCGACGAUCCCUAGCUGGUCUGAGAGGAUGAGCAGCCAAACUGGAACUGAGACACGGUCCAGAUGCCAAGGGGGGGAAGCAGUGGGGAAUAUUGCACAAUGGGCGCAAGCCUGAUGCAGCCAUGCCGCGUGUAUGAAGAAGGCCUUCGGGUUGUAAAGUACUGUCAGCGGGGAAGCGUUACCCGCAGAAGAAGCACCGGCUAACUCCGGGCCAGCAGCCGCGGUAAUUC